CCCUUAGAGUUUGAUCCUGGCUCAGAUUGAACGCUGGCGGCAGGCCUAACACAUGCAAGUCGAGCGGUAACAGAUUGAUAGCUUGCUAUCGAUGCUGACGAGCGGCGGACGGGUGAGUAAUGCCUGGGAAUAUGCCCUGAUGUGGGGGAUAACUAUUGGAAACGAUAGCUAAUACCGCAUAAUCUCUUUGGAGCAAAGAGGGGGACCUUCGGGCCUCUCGCGUCAGGAUUAGCCCAGGUGGGAUUAGCUUGUUGGUGGGGUAAUGGCUCACCAAGGCAACGAUCCCUAGCUGGUCUGAGAGGAUGAUCAGCCACACUGGAACUGAGACACGGUCCAGACUCCUACGGGAGGCAGCAGUGGGGAAUAUUGCACAAUGGGGGAAACCCUGAUGCAGCCAUGCCGCGUGUAUGAAGAAGGCCUUCGGGUUGUAAAGUACUUUCAGUUGUGAGGAAGGCAGUAAAGUUAAUAGCUUUGCUGUUUGACGUUAGCAACAGAAGAAGCACCGGCUAACUCCGUGCCAGCAGCCGCGGUAAUACGGAGGGUGCGAGCGUUAAUCGGAAUUACUGGGCGUAAAGCGCAUGCAGGUGGUUUGUUAAGCAAGAUGUGAAAGCCCGGGGCUCAACCUCGGAACAGCAUUUUGAACUGGCAGACUAGAGUACUGUAGAGGGGGGGUAGAAUUUCAGGUGUAGCGGUGAAAUGCGUAGAGAUCUGAAGGAAUACCGGUGGCGAAAGGCGGCCCCCUG
rnacentral:rRNA from 1 species